rnacentral:lncRNA from 1 species
CUACGUUUGUCAAGACAAGCUGGAAAAGAUUACUUAAAUACAGAAGUUUUCUUAGGAAAGAUAAGACGACAAAAGUAUAUAUAGAUUUUUCUCACUCAAGUCAUGCAUCAAAGGAGUGGGUUAUUAGUAGAAAGUUUUUUAUGGUUACAAGAUUUUUUCAAAUGCAAGGGAAUUGCAAAACAUUUUUUAAUAUUCAUGGACUUACGAAAGAGCAAUGAGGAAAAGCUAGUGUGAAGAAUUUGAACAUCUUUAUCAUUUU